UCUUGCUUGAGCCGUCACUCCUCCCUCCCCUCCUUCUCUUCUCCCUUCCCUCUCUCAAUUCCCUCUCCCUCACGGCCCACAGCAGCUGCCGGCACACCAGACCACCAGCAGACCACCGUGAGCAGCCCGCAGCAGCACAGCCGCGUUUUCCCUCCCCCACGCACUACAAGCAGCAGCCUCACCACGAACGACCACAGCAGCGGCUGUUUCGUGAGCCACCAGCAGGUACAGCAGCCGCAAGAGGUGGUUCCUCCACCAUUUUCGUGCUCCACACCACUACAAAAACCACUUAUACCCUCACCCAUUUCUAGUUCCCCUUGUGCCCGGUUCAUAAGAGGGGCGUAAGAACCCCUUCGAAGCGAUUUUUGUGGCUUGUCAUCUUGCAGUGCAGCAGGGGCGUCGUAGAUAGGUCUUGCAGGUUUUGGAGUUUCCUUGCAUUGCAUAUGGGGGGGGGGGGGGGGGGG